UACGAAGGGGGCUAGCGUUGUUCGGAAUCACUGGGCGUAAAGCGCACGUAGGCGGAUCUUUAAGUCAGAGGUGAAAUCCCAAGGCUCAACCUUGGAACUGCCUUUGAUACUGGGGAUCUUGAGUCCGGGAGAGGUGAGUGGAACUGCGAGUGUAGAGGUGAAAUUCGUAGAUAUCAGGAAGAACACCCGUGGCGAAGGCGGUUCUCUGGGACGGUACUGACGCUGAGACGCGAAAGCGUGGGGAGCGAACAGG
rnacentral:rRNA from 1 species